GGAUCAGCUGUUUUACCUUCUCCAGGGAGCUGUGCAUCUCCUUCUGCCGGGCCAGGAUGGUGUUCUUCAUUUCCAUGCAUUUCUGCAGCAAAUGAGAAGGGCACACGUCUGAACUCCA